AGUGGGGAAUAUUGCACAAUGGGCGCAAGCCUGAUGCAGCGACGCCGCGUGGGGGAUGACGGCCUUCGGGUUGUAAACCUCUUUCACCAUCGACGAAGGUCCGGGUUCUCUCGGAUUGACGGUAGGUGGAGAAGAAGCACCGGCCAACUACGUGCCAGCAGCUGCGGUAAUACGUAGGGUGCGAGCGUUGUCCGGAAUUACUGGGCGUAAAGAGCUCGUAGGUGGUUUGUCGCGUUGUUCGUGAAAUCUCACGGCUUAACUGUGAGCGUGCGGGCGAUACGGGCAGACUAGAGUACUGCAGGGGAGACUGGAAUUCCUGGUGUAGCGGUGGAAUGCGCAGAUAUCAGGAGGAACACCGGUGGCGAAGGCGGGUCUCUGGGCAGUAACUGACGCUGAGGAGCGAAAGCGUGGGGAGCGAACAGGAUUAGAUACCCUGGUAGUCCACGCCGUAAACGGUGGGUACUAGGUGUGGGUUUCCUUCCUUGGGAUCCGUGCCGUA
rnacentral:rRNA from 1 species